rnacentral:rRNA from 1 species
ACGCGUAAUCACCUGCCCUUCAGAGGGGGACAACAGUUGAAAGGUGGCCUCUACAUGUAAGCUAUCACUGAAGGAGGGGAUUGCGUCUGAUUAGCUAGUUGGAGGGGUAACGGCCCACCAAGGCGAUGAUCAGUAGCCGGUCUGAGAGGAUGAACGGCCACAUUGGGACUGAGACACGGCCCAGACUCCUACGGGAGGCAGCAGUGGGGAAUCUUCCGCAAUGGACGAAAGUCUGACGGAGCAACGCCGCGUGAGUGAUGACGGGCUUCGGGUUGUAAAGCUCUGUUAAUCGGGACGAAAGGCCUUUCUUGCGAAUAGUGAGAAGGAUUGACGGACCGGAAUAG